AUUGAACGCUGGCGGCAUGCCUUACACAUGCAAGUCGAACGGUAACAGGUCUUCGGACGCUGACGAGUGGCGAACGGGUGAGUAAUACAUCGGAACGUGCCCAGUCGUGGGGGAUAACUACUCGAAAGAGUAGCUAAUACCGCAUACGAUCUGAGGAUGAAAGCGGGGGACCUUCGGGCCUCGCGCGAUUGGAGCGGCCGAUGGCAGAUUAGGUAGUUGGUGGGAUAAAAGCUUACCAAGCCGACGAUCUGUAGCUGGUCUGAGAGGACGACCAGCCACACUGGGACUGAGACACGGCCCAGACUCCUACGGGAGGCAGCAGUGGGGAAUUUUGGACAAUGGGCGAAAGCCUGAUCCAGCAAUGCCGCGUGCAGGAUGAAGGCCUUCGGGUUGUAAACUGCUUUUGUACGGAACGAAAAAGCUUCUCCUAAUACGAGAGGCCCAUCACGGUACCGUAAGAAUAAGCACCGGCUAACUACGUGCCAGCCGCCGCGGUAA
rnacentral:rRNA from 1 species